rnacentral:rRNA from 1 species
GACGAACGCUGGCGGCGUGCUUAACACAUGCAAGUCGAACGGAAAGGCCCUGCUUGCAGGGUACUCGAGUGGCGAACGGGUGAGUAACACGUGGGUGAUCUGCCCUGCACUUCGGGAUAAGCCUGGGAAACUGGCUCUAAUACCGGAUAGGAGCCAUUUUUAGUGUGAUGGUUGGAAAGUUUUUUCGGUGUAGGAUGAGCUCGCGGCCUAUCAGCUUGUUGGUGGGGUAAUGGCCUACCAAGGCGGCGACGGGUAGCCGGCCUGAGAGGGUGGACGGCCACAUUGGGACUGAGAUACGGCCCAGACUCCUACGGGAGGCAGCAGUGGGGAAUAUUGCACAAUGGGCGCAAGCCUGAUGCAGCGACGCCGCGUGGGGGAUGACGGCCUUCGGGUUGUAAACUCCUUUCGCUAGGGACGAAGCUUUUUGUGACGGUACCUAGAUAAGAAGCACCGGCUAACUACGUG